rnacentral:rRNA from 1 species
UACGUAGGCAGCAAGCGUUGUUCGGAAUUACUGGGCGUAAAGAGUGUGUAGGCGGUGCUCUAAGUUUGGUGUGAAAUCUCCCGGCUCAACCGGGAGGGUGCGCCGAAAACUGGAGUGCUCGAGUAUGGGAGAGGUAAGCGGAAUUCCUGGUGUAGCGGUGAAAUGCGUAGAUAUCAGGAGGAACACCGAUGGGCGAAGGCAGCUCGCUGGGGACGG